CUCUAUGGUUCGAGCUUUCGCAAUUCAAUUCAUAUUUUGACAGCCAUACUAAAUAGUAAAUACUAAUUGUAAAUAACAUUUUAUUGGUGAGUUUCAGGCUGUAUUUGGACAAAUUAAUUGAUACUUCUCAUUUAAAAGAAAUAACAUGGCUACUCCUACCCCCGAUACACCAGAACAAUACGAUCAAUUUGAUGACGAGGAGUCAGAUCAGCAAUUAGGAGCAACAGCUUCUGGCCGAAAAAGAUUGUUUAGUAAAGAGCUUCGAUGCAUGAUGUAUGGAUUUGGCGAUGAUCGGAACCCAUACACUGAAAGUGUCGAUUUUUUAGAAGAUCUUGUUAUUGAGUUUAUAACCGAAACUACACAUAGAGCAAUGGAAGUUGGAAGACCUGGUAGAGUUCAAGUUGAAGAUAUUAUUUUUUUAGUUCGUAAGGAUUUUCGUAAAUAUGCUCGUGUUAAAGACUUGCUAACAAUGAAUGAAGAACUUAAGAAAGCUAGAAAAGCAUUUGACGAGGUUAAAUAUGUUGAAGAUCAACAAUAGUAUUGGCAGUCAAAAUGCUGCUCAUGCUCAGACUGAUGCAAAGUGAGGAUAAUUUACAAAAUGGACCAAAUAUAAUUGAUGAAGACUUGAUUAUUUAUGGCAUGUUACAAAAAUGGCUAAGUAGCAGUUUUGCAGGAAGAUUUUAUAAAAGAACAACAAGUUAUAAUAAAAGACAUCAAUAUAGAGUUUAAUUAAAA